UACGUAGGGACCAAGCGUUGUUCGGAUUUACUGGGCGUAAAGGGCGCGUAGGCGGCAAUUCAAGUCAGCUGUGAAAUCUCCGGGCUUAACUCGGAACGGUCAGCUGAUACUGCUUUGCUAGAGUGCAGAAGGGGCAAUCGGAAUUCUUGGUGUAGCGGUGAAAUGCGUAGAUAUCAAGAGGAACACCUGCGGCGAAGGCGGGUUGCUGGGCCGACACUGACGCUGGAGGCGCGAAAGCUAGGGGAGCGAACGGG
rnacentral:rRNA from 1 species